rnacentral:lncRNA from 1 species
UUCACCCAUUUUUACAGUGUUUAAAGCAACAAAUCACCUGAGGCUCCAUGGGCUGCUUGUGGUAAUUUCUCAAUGGUGGAUGCUGAUGCUCUGUGGGUCACUUUUUAGUCACUGGCUGAGGCUGGUGUUUUUGUUUUUUGUUUUUGUUUUUCUUUCUCAGCUGGGUACGAGGGAUGCCACUGCUAAUGACCUCUAGGCUGUAGAGUCCAGAGAAGUCGCCAGUGUCUUGCCUUGUGUAGGAGAGCCUCCAUGGUGAACAAUUAUCUAAUCCACAGUUGUGUGAGUCUGUUAACACAGAUUGUGUGUAGACAAGUGCGUCAGUCCAGUCAAGUUAACUGUGAAGCCACGGCGGAGACUGCCAGACUGUGCCAGGGGACUUGAGACGAAGAAAGAAGCUUUUCUUUCCAGGUGACACCACCUUGGGAUGAAACAGUAACUUUCCCCGCUACAAGUGCACUCAAGUUUUAUGAAUCACAGUCAAGGGAUUUCUAAAUUUAUCACGCAGUGCUUUCUUUGCUUGAUGUUACUUCCGUAUUUCUUUUGUAGUACAAUGGUGAUUUGCACCAAAUGAUGUAGUAUGGAUCUCUAGGAAUUGUAGCAUCCUUUGUAAAUGACUACUCGAUUCUGUCUUCCUGUGACCUGGCUCUUGGAACUUUCCUCCCCCGCCCCCCCUUUGAGGAAAAUGUUAUCUUAUCGGUUAUUGAUGAACCAAGCAGCAGUUACGACUUGGAGAAGCUGCUCUGAGCUCUAAGAAAGUUAUUGCAUCAUGCUCUACUUCACAUUCAUGGUCAGGGUUUGAUAGAGCGGUGAGGGACAAGAAGAGCAGCCCGGAGCUGUUGAAAGGACUCCAGGUUCUGUCCCAGGUGGACCGCAGAUGAAACCUUAAAUAAGUGCCUAUUAGCUUAGGUGCACUUCUGACUUCAAAUACUCACAAGGCUUUCAUACAGAAUUGUUGAAGAGAAUUCUAGAAUUUAUUGUUGUGAAUUCAGCCGUUGUCUUAAGCAACCUGGUUUCUUUACUCGAUUUCUUUACUAUCUCUAAUUGUAUAUUAUCUUCUUUUAUAUUUUCUUCAUAUAUAUGAUUACAAUAUUCUGGAACUGGACAGAAAUUUACAUUUAUGGGAGAAGCAGAGCCCAAAUGACAGCUUGAAUUCUAUGCUGUGUGGUUAGAGCUUAGAACUGAUGUGUGCUGACUGUGUGCUUAGAGCACACUGAUGCAGGCUGACUGUGUGCCUAGAGCUUAGAACUGAUGCGUGCUGACUGUGUGCUUAGAGCUUAGAACUGAUGCAUGCUGACUGUGUGCUCAGAGCACACUGAUGUGUGCUGACUGUGUGGUUAGAACACACUGAUAUAUGCUGACUGCUGACUGUGUGGUUAGAGCACACUGAUGCAUGCUGACUGUGUGUGAUGUAUGCUAACUGUGUGGUUAGAGCACACUGAUAUGUGCUGACUGUGUGCUUAGAGCACACUGAUAUAUGCUGACUGUGUGCUUAGGGCACACUGAUGUUUGCUUAGGAAUUGUUAACUUCAAUUUCUUGGGCUUGGACUUAUUGUUAUUAUUUUUUUUUAUAAAAGUCAAAAUU